AUGGAUGNCCGGGAUUCGGGAUUUGGGAUUUGGGAUUUGGGUCCGGGAUUUGGGUCUGGGAUUUGGGAUUCAGGAUUUGAGAUCCGAUCCCACACUGGGAGCCGGGAUUCGGGGUUUGGGAUUUGGGUCCAGGAUUUGGGAUUCGGGAUUCGGGAUCCGAUCCCACUGGGAGCUGGGAUUCUGGAUUUGGGAUUUGGGUCCGGGAUUUGGGAUUCGGGAUUUGAGAUCCGAUCCCACUGGGAGCCGGGAUUCGGGGUUUGGGAUCUGAUACCACAGGAAGCCGGGAUUUGGGAUUCGGGAUUCGGGAUUCGAGAUUCAGGAUUCAGGAUCCGAUCCCACUGGGAACCUGAAUUUGGGAUUUGGGAUUUGGGAUUUGAGAUCCGAUCCCACCAGGAGCCGGGAGCCGGGAUUUGGGAUUCAGGAAUAGGGAUUUGGGAUUUGAGAUCCGAUCCCACCAGGAGCUGGGAUUUGGGAUUUGAAAUUUGGGAUUCAGGAUUUGGGAAUCGGGAUUCGGGAUUUGAUCCCACCGGGAGCCGGGAUUCAGGAUUCGGGAUUUGGGAUUUGAGAUCCAAUCCCACUGGGAUUUGGGAUUUGGGAUUUGGGAUCUGGGAUCUGGGAUCUGGGAUCCAAUCCCACUGGGUGCCAGAGCCAGGAUUUGGGAGUCAGGUUUUGAGAUUCAGGAUCUGGGAUCCGAUCCCACCAGGAGCUGGGAUUUGGGUUUUGAGAUUCGGGAUUCAGGAUUUGGGAUUCGGGAUUUGAUCCCACCGGGAGUUGGGAUUCAGGAUUUGGGAUUUGGGAUUCGAUAUUCAGGACUCAGGAUCCGAUCCCACUGGGAACCUGAAUUUGGGAUUUGGGAUUUGAGAUCCGAUCCCACCAGGAGCCGGGAUUUGGGAUUUGAGAUUCGGGAUUCAGGAUUUGGGAUUCGGGAUUUGGGAUUUGAUCCCACCGGGAGCCGGGAUUCAGGAUUUGGGAUUCGAGAUUCACGAUCUGAUUCCACAGGAAGCCAGGAUUCAGGAUUCGGGAUUUGGGAUUUGAGAUCCGAGAUUUGGGAUUUGGGACUUGGGAUCCGGGAUCCAAUCCCACCGGGAGCCAGGAUUUGGGAUUUGGGAUCCGAUCCCACCAGGAGCUGGAAUUUGGGAUUUGAGAUCUGAUCCCACUGGGAUUCGGGAUUCGGGAUCCGAUCCCACCGGGAACCUGAAUUUGGGAUUUGGGAUUCAGGUUCCAGGAUUCGGGAUCCGGUGAAAGCCACUUCCCAAAUCCACGAAAAACCAGGAAGAGCCGAGGGAAUGGGAGCAGGAGUUGGGAAGGGCUCUCUCCAACCCUUCCCAACAUUCCGGGAAAACCAGGAUGAGCUCCUGGUGGAGAAGGGGGGGUGAUGGAGGUGAAAAAUCGGGAAUUUCGUAUGUGAGAGCCGAGGAUCAGGAAUUCCAUGGGAUUUGCUGGAAUCAAGGUUUUCCCGGCGAUUUUGGAAGCAGGAAUUGGGAAUGUUGUGGAAUUUUUUUUUUUUUUUUUUUUUUUUUUUU
rnacentral:lncRNA from 1 species